CUGCUUAGAACCAGACAGUCAGCUCUGUCCUUCAUAACACCAUUCUUAGGAGACAACUCAGUACUGCACUGUUAGUGUCCAGGUUUAUACUACUCAACAUCGUGUCAUCAUGGCUUCACGUGUAUUACUCCCGUAUCCAGUGAGACUAAAGGACAUAGUCUAGAGUCAGAAGACCUGGGUUCUACCUAUAGAUCUGCUACUAACUAGCUUGAUCAUUUUGACCUGCCUUGGUUUGAUUCCCAAAAGCAGACCUCAAGAUAAGAUUUCUGGGCACAAUUAGUUUAUUUAGGAGGUGAUCCCAGGAAGUGGUUGAGAAAGAGGGGAUGAGAGACAGGGAAGGGAGGAAGCACAUAUAAGGCAUCUUGAGCAGCAGGUUACCACUGUGUGCAACUGUGGCUCAAUUCAACGGGGACCUCGAAGGGCCUAUGUAGACUAGAACAGAAUUGAGGGAUGAGAAGGUAGGGUUUUUAUUAUCUACGUAGUCCCAUCACUCAUUAGUGGAGAGUUGCUCCUGGAGUCUUAACUCCCUAGUGGUUUUCAUCUUCCAUGCUCUCUUCCCAGUGCACCCUAGGACCACAGAACACCCUCAGGCAGAGAGAAGCAGGCUGCCCUUGGCUGAACAGAAACCGUGAAGUAGGUAAUGAAGAUGCACAAGUUCGGGUCAAAUUCGCCCUCCGGAAAAACUGCAAAUUAAGAUGCUGUUGACGGAUACGCCGCAGGCUGUCUUAAGCGUCGUGAUCAAAAUCCAAAUAGGCCUCUCUUCACAUGGACUCUCAUCAUUCAGUAGCCCAGCCUGGACUUCCCCACAACAUGGCAGCUGGGGUCCAAGAGGGAAGAAGUGGAAGCUACUAGUCCUUUUAAGGCCUGUGCCACUGGAAGUCUCAAAAUGUCAUUCCCAUCUCAUUCUGUUGGUUAAAGCCAGUCACAAGCCUACAGGAGGCUUAGGUGACACACACCUCUACAUGCAGGAAUAGCGGUGUUUGUGACUGGAAUGGAUCACCCGGAAGGUGCCUGGAAGAAUUCCCCUUCUUAGACACCACUUCUCCAUGAUGUACUGUUCCCUUGUGUCAAGCAUUGCCCUCUUUGA